UCGCGAUAAGCGUACGUCAUAGCCCUCAACAAAAAUGGCCGCGCGGUCCUCACUGGAUUUAUCUUCCUGGAGUUGAUAUCUACUUUCUUGCCAAGGUCCUGGGAGAGAUGUCUGCGCCACAACGAGGAGGGAAGUUUUUGCGCGUGCCGCCGAUGAAUGCCAACCCGCAAAGGAUGGCUCCCGCUGGAUUUAAUCCAGGGCCGGGCAUGAGGGUGGUUCGGCGAGGGAUGAACACUCGCAACAACGCCUUAGCGCUCGGGCUAGGAGUUGCCGUCGCAGGAAUCUAUACCUACACCAUGUAUGCUUUCUCCCAAGAUGGCUUGCUGAAGGAAGUAGAAUCAGAGGCUGAAAUCAUGCGAGCACAGGCAGCAAAAACCUCAUCAGAUUGAGAUUGAAAGAAUUGAAGAAUUACUCAUUUUAGAUGUUGAAAGUCAACAUUCCUCUUUGUGCGUUCAGACUACUUGACGAUAAGUUGCACAACUCCAAGGAUAACACCCUGCAUUUCAAAGUGUUCACUGAUAACAUAUAUAUCGCCAUGUCUAAGCUAUAAAAGCUAUUUAAACCUUUUAUCUGCUUUGUGAAACUCCAAUAAACAAACUCAAUGGAGGAUAAUUGUGUGUGAGAAGUUAUUUUGGGGUAGAACUCCAAACUGCCUGAGGAAGAAGGCUCAGAACUUUAUGUACUGAGUUAUGUUUUAAAAUAUAUUUUACAUCUGUAAUGAUUUAUUAAUAUUAGAAAUAGUAUAGGUGAACUCUUUGUGUUCCUCAUAUACAUGUAACUUACCAAGGUGUCAGGUUUUAUCAGCAUAUUUAUAUUUACUAGAGCUGUGUAAACUUCAAAGUGGUAUUUCAUUUUCAUGGUGCUUUGAGGGGGAAAUAGACCUUCAAAGCUGUUUUAUGAAGUAACAUGACCCCUGCUAUCCUACCUUUGCUUUGUAUUCUGUAGGUCCCUCCACCCCCACUCAGCUAGAGCACACACACAAUGCCUCAAUAAGGUUACCAAUGUUGCCUCCACAAUGGAAAGCUCUGCUAAUCAUGUCAAAUUCUAAAUUCCUUGCAAAGAACAAACAUAUUUAUAAACAUGACAAGAAGCAAAAUUGUAAUAAGAAUCUUGCUCAAAGGAUUGUUUUUUAAAUCUUUUAAAUAUUCUUACUUAGAAUUGUAGGUUCUGAAUAUAAUACCUUUGAAGACUAUUGACCUAAAACAUGUGUAACCAUUAUAUUUGAAUUGUUCAUCUCUUUUUCUGCAGCUAACUGUAACAAUUUAAUUAAUGUAUUUUAAUCUUUAAAUCUUUCCAAAUUGGCAAUUAUUAUUAGAAAAGAAAUAUUUUAUUAGCUAUCCUAAAACUCACCAUCCAUCUUGAGUAAUCUGUUUGAAAGUAUGAGGUACUAUGGAAUAGAUAAAAUGCGAGGUUGCGCUCCGAAAAACGUCUAUGGAUAGCAGCACAAAAAACAUUUUAUUGAUGAGAAAUAAUAGACAAAAACAAGGUUAAUUUAAUGCAAGAUAUUAAAGUUUUGUCCAUUUUAAAAUAGAACCAAGAGAAGAACUGAUGACAGAAGGAUAUAAUUGUCAGUGAUUCUUUUAUUUACAAUUAUUAGAAAAGUAGACAAAAAUAUAAUUUUGAAUACUAAUAUUUAAUUUGAAAUAUAACCAUGUAUAAAUAUAAACAUAUAAUUACUAAAAUGCAUAAACAUUUAUUGAAAUUUGAAAUAGAAGAACAAGUAAGAGAAUGAAUGAAUAACGGCGACCAGAGGUGAGGCAGGCCCCAUUCCUGACCUUUCGGAAAGAUAACCCUGGCCUUGCUUGGAGUACACAGAGCAGCAUGCAACCAUAGGGCUGGCUAGCACCCUGAAAGCAUUCCCUAUCUUUUAAUUAAUUUUUAACAUUGAAUUUUAUUCAUAUUUGCCUCUUUUGCAUUUUAUAUACUGUUUUUAUAUUUUAAUAUUUUAUUUGUACACUGCCCAGAGUGACUCUGAGGGAGAUCAGCACUUUCAAAGUUUUUGGUUAUAAUAUCCAGAUGGAGGCUAUUCACAAUUUCACAACCCCUUUCCUAAUCAAUGCCCAUAUUGGACCCAAUCCAAUAUCUGAAUUUAACCAAAAUCUGAAUUUAUAACAUGUUUAUACCGAAUCAUGUGCUACUUUAAUUCCUGCCCAUAAUGUUUACAGCAAUCUGCAACUCUUUUAUUUCAUCAUUUAAUAAUUAUAUUUGUCACUUCAUUGGAUAAUUCUAACUCCAUAUAAUUUAAGUUAAAAAUGCUACCCUUUGGAAACACUCUAUUUAUUACUAGUCAUUGUAAAGCUUGUCUUUUCAUUGAAACAUUUUGUGCUUUGAUAAUUCUAUUAAAAUACCUCAUCCUAUAGUUUGUUCCGAAUGAUUUUUGAAAGUUAUAAGCAGUGCCUACCAAAUCCCACAUUAUACAUGUAUUUGUUGUUACUUUAGAUAGAUAAGCCAAUUUAACUUUCCAGAAAGUUGUAAAGUUAGUUGAACUCAUCUAUAUUUUCUUGUCCUCUUUCCAUCCACAAAAAGAUAAGACUUUUUUUUAAGAUAAAUGUUUGCUUAGUGUCUUCUAGCACAGAGGUUAUACUUGGGAUUACAGUAUAUUAGGUUUGAAAACAGACUAAAAUCAGGUUCUAUAAUUAUCCAAUUGCCCAACUAUUAACUUGAUUUCUGCUUUUAAUGGGUUUAACACUAAAAGAAUGAAAUUUCUUUAAGAGUCCUAAAAAGUAUAUGUUUGCGUCUAUUAUUAUUGCUUUACAUUCUUUUUGUUAUUUAAUUACCAAAAAAAAUAUAGACACUCCCUUACUUAUGAACUUUAGAAUGACAAACGUUUACCCAUACAAACAAACCUAUCCCUGACUCCAGUCUAGAAGGUUCUAUAAGUAGAAAAUACAUUAGUUUAUGCAUGCUGUGAGCCUCCUAUCAGGAAGGUGGCAGUACCACAUCCUUGGCCAGGAGCAUGUCUGGUAGGCUCCAUGAGCCUUAACUGAGUGGAGCAGAAACGGACAUGAACAUGCCUGAACAGGGUCCAAACACCUCAGGAGAAAAGAAUUGCUGAGGCACUAAAAAUGGUCUCCACCUGAAUACUGACACAGGAGGGGGCUCUAUCAGAGAAGAACAAUUGACUCAUAUACAUGCUUGGAGAGGUUUAAUGGCAGGAAAAUGGGUGGCAUGAGAAUGGGCAUUGGAGCUGGGAGUCUCUCAUUGCUGGGAAGCUCCCACCAAAUUUGCUCCUACUUAUCCCUGUGAAGAAUUAAACGGUGUAGCUUGCUUAUCGUUUAUAUGAUCAAGACUAAACAGUGUACACCUCACCCUUUCAUUUGUAGAUUGUACUGGUUUAUCUUGCUGGCAGUUCUUUCCCAGUGAGGGUCCCAAUGGCCUGUCUUUGCCCCAGUGGCUGAAGUGUGAGCAAGCCUGAUGAAGCUUGAAAGCUUUCUGUGAUGGGACACAGAAGAAAUGAAGAGAAAUCAAAUCCUACAAGAAUAUUUGAACAAACU